rnacentral:rRNA from 1 species
UGGGGAAUUUUGGACAAUGGGCGAAAGCCUGAUCCAGCAAUGCCGCGUGUGUGAAGAAGGCCUUCGGGUUGUAAAGCACUUUUGUCCGGAAAGAAAUCCUUGGCUCUAAUACAGUCGGGGGAUGACGGUACCGGAAGAAUAAGCACCGGCUAACUACGUGCCAGCAGCCGCGGUAAUACGUAGGGUGCAAGCGUUAAUCGGAAUUACUGGGCGUAAAGCGUGCGCAGGCGGUUUGCUAAGACCGAUGUGAAAAUCCCCGGGCUCAACCUGGGAACUGCAUUGGUGACUGGCAGGCUAGAGUAUGGCAGAGGGGGGUAGAAUUCCACGUGUAGCAGUGAAAAUGCGUAGAGAUGUGGAGGAAUACCGAUGGCGAAAGGCAGCCCCCUGGGCCAAAUACUGACGCUCAUGCACGAAAAGCGUGGGGGAGCAAAACAGGAUUAGAUACCCUGGUAGUCCACGCCCUAAAACGAUGUCAAACUAGUUGUUGGGGAUUCAUUUCCUUAGUAAACGUAGCUAAACGCGUGAAAGUUGACCGCCUGGGGAGUAACGGUCGCAAAGAUUAAAAACUCAAAGGAAUUGACGGGGUCAUAGCUGUUUCCU